rnacentral:rRNA from 1 species
UACGUAGGGUGCGAGCGUUAAUCGGAAUUACUGGGCGUAAAGCGUGCGCAGGCGGUUCGUUAAGUCAGAUGUGAAAGCCCCGGGCUCAACCUGGGAACUGCAUUUGAAACUGGCGGGCUUGAGUAUGGCAGAGGGGGGUGGAAUUCCGCGUGUAGCGGUGAAAUGCGUAGAGAUGCGGAGGAACACCGAUGGCGAAAGCGGCGCACUGGACCAUAACUGACGCUGAGGCGCGAAAGCUAGGGGAGCAAACAGG